UACGUAGGGUGCAAGCGUUGUCCGGAAUUAUUGGGCGUAAAGAGCUCGUAGGCGGUUUGUCGCGUCUGCUGUGAAAACCUGGGGCUCAACCCCGGGCCUGCAGCCGAUACGGGCAAGCUAGAAUUCGGUAGGGGAGACUGGAAUUCCUGGUGUAGCGGUGAAAUGCGCAGAUAUCAGGAGGAACACCGGUGGCGAAGGCGGGUCUCUGGGCCGAUAUUGACGCUGAGGAGCGAAAGCGUGGGGAGCAAACAGG
rnacentral:rRNA from 1 species